UACGUAGGGGGCAAGCGUUGUCCGGAAUCAUUGGGCGUAAAGCGCGUGUAGGCGGCUUGGUAAGUCUGCUCUGAAAGCCCGGGGCUCAACCCCGGGAGGCGGGUGGAUACUGCUGAGCUCGAGUCCGGAAGAGGCGAGUGGAAUUCCUGGUGUAGCGGUGAAAUGCGCAGAUAAUCAGGAGGAACACCAAUGGCGAAGGCAGCUCGCUGGACGGUACUGACGCUGAGGAGCGAAAGCGUGGGGAGCGAACAGG
rnacentral:rRNA from 1 species